CUCCAAGACCAGUGACAUCCCAGACAGAGGCCACUCCAUUGGCCUGGAUCCCAACAAGAGGAUGACAUGGAACAGAGCCACAACCUGACCAUGAUUUACAUGUAACAUGAGUGAGAAAUAAACUGAUGUUGUGAGCCAUGGAUAUUUAGGAGAUAUUUGUUACUGCAGCAUAAUCCAGUCUCUCCUGACUGUUGUGGAGGACUAACAAAUUGCCCAAUGACCCCAAUCUGUGAUAUCAACAAGAUUAAAGGAUAAAAUUCCCAUGGGUUCCUCCAGAGAGGCUUAUAAAUAAGACAUGGCUCCAAUCUUUUCCAUCAUAACAACAAUCACAGCAUCAGCACACACCAAGGAGGAUAAUUGGGGUGGAGUGGGUAGAUGGUCUGUACCCAGUAUUUUACUGUUAAGGGCAAAUUUGCAGAGAUUUGGAAAAUUGGGUGCUGUGUAAACAUAUAGAACAAGUUUUCAGCUACAACACAGCUGAGCUCAAGGGAAUGGGGUUUGAUAGUUAGUGUCAGCAUAAUGAAUUUUUUUUUAAAGGCUCCAGAAUGUCUGCGAAACACUGUCAAGUUAAAAAUUGUGCCUGUGGGUUUUUUUUUAAAGCAAUUUCCCUAGCCACUCUGGCUAAUAAUAUCUCAUUUUGUUAACUCUGAAAGAAAGUCUUUUAAAAAAUACUGUAACAUGUCAUUUCCCAGCUUAAACCCUUUCAAUGACUUUGCAUGGCCUUGACAAUCAGGUUGAAACUCCUCAAAUGACCUCCAAGUCCCUUCUUAACUGGGCCUUGCUGACCUGUCCAGCUCCAUACCUGGACACUCUCCUCUCACAGGCUAUGGUUCCACCACUCACAGGACUAAAAGCUAUGCUCACUCUGCCUCUGAGCCUUUGCACUUGCUGUUCCCUGUCUGGAACAUUCUCCCGACCAUUAUGGAAAAACGUAGUUCAUGUGUAAGGCUCCAGCAAAGCAGAUGCUCCAAAUGUUUGAAAUAAUUUAAAUGUUUAUCCUUCUCUGAAAAAAAUAAAACAAAACAAAACAUGGACUACAAGAUUUUUAGAGCCCCCUGGUACUUAUUUUGCUGUUUAGUAUUAUUUUCCUUUUUUAGGGCAGCACUAGAGGCCUAUGGAAGCUCCCAGGCUAGGGGUUGAAUCGGAACUGCUGGUCUAUAACACAGCCACGACAAUGUGGGAUCUGAGCUGUGUCUGCAACCUACACCACAGUUUGUGGCAACGCCAGAUCCUUAGCCGACUGAGCAAGGCCAGGGAUCGAACCUGCAUCCUCAUGGAUACUAGUCAGGUUCUUAACCCACUGAGCCACAAUGGAAACCCCUAUUCAGUAUUUUGUAAUAACCUAUAAUGGAAAAGAAUCUGAAAAAAGAUAUAUGUGUGCGUGUGUGUGUGUGUGUGUGUGUGUGUGUGUGUAACUGAAUCAUUUUGCUGUAUACCUGGAACAUGGUAGAUCAACCACACUUCAAUAAAACAAUAACAAUUAAAAUAACUUAUAAAGCCAAACUUAAAUGAUGUCCAAACUUCCCAUUAUAUAUAGGUUCUUCCCAACUUCUUACAAAGAUAAAGAGCACUGCCCUUAAUAGCCUCACAGCUAAAUCUUUGUAUACAUACUUUGAUUAUUUUCUAGCAGUAAAUUCCUAGAAAUAGAAUUGCUUGGCCCAAAUAAAAGGCCUUGCAGGCUUUUGAUACUCUCUUAACCAGGCAUAUUUGGUUGUCAGAAAUAGACACAAACUUGAACUAGCUCAAGUUAAAGGUGGUUUAUUAAAAGGAUAUGGGCCUCAGGCAGGGUGAGAGCAGAACAACUUGAGGUUUCUCAGCAGCCACAGUGCAUGGCCUUUCAGUCUUGUGCUCUCACUGAUAUGACUCCAUCAUCAACUCAAUCAAUCUUUGUUUCCACUUCAUCCAAAUUCUUAAAAAAGAGGGAAUCAGCUUGGUGUAGCCUCAGCCUAUGGAACUGGUUCUCCUGGGUCAGGGAGCUUCAUGAUCCAGAAAGGGCCUGUCUGGAGCCAGGUAGGAACAGGAAGCUCAUCUGGGACUGAUACCCUUCUAUCACAUGAAACGGAUCUUAAUAAUUGUUUGAGAUAGAAAUGUGUCAGUAGAGGAAAAAAUAGCUUCCUUUCCCUUUGUAUAUGGAUGACCAUUCUCAGAACAUACAUAAAUCAGAAUACUUUUGGUUGUGACAGCACCCGUUCAAAUAGACAUAAGCAUGAUAAUUUGGAAGAGGGUUUGGAUGAAUCAUUAGUACCAAGGUGUUAAUAGUUUCAUGUGAUCAGAAGUUUAGGGCUAGAUCUGCCAUCAAACACAGUUGGAUCCAAGAGGUCUACCAUGUCAACAGUUAGACUCUCUUUCACCUUCUCUCUGCUUUCUUCCGGAAUGAAGUCAUUUGCAGGCCAACUCUCUCUAGGAUAAAGUAUGAUGGCCCCCUGAAGUUCUUGGUUUAUAUCCCCAGCAGGGCACCCCCUUCCCAUCAAUUCCAGUCAAAGUCAUGGAGUUUACAUCUAUUGGGCCAACAUAAUUGAACCAAGGCCAAGGUGCUGGGCAAGGAGAACUAACAAGUGUCACUACAGAAAUAUAGUAGGUUUUGGUUUUUCCUAGUAGACAAAUGGGAUGCUUUGUGAGCUUGUUGAAAGAAGCAGUGCUGCCCAAUAGAACUUUCUGUAAUGACGGAAAUAUUCUCUAUCUCUGUCAUCCGGUGGAGAAGCCCCUAGCCAAUGCUGCUACUGAGCACUUGAAAUGCAGCUAGUGGACUGAGCAAUUGAAUUUUUCAUUGUAAUUAAUUGAAAUUUAAAUAGCCCCACGAAGUUGGCAGGGCUGUAACUGGAUAACACAGAAUAAAAGCCUGUUAAAUUUUUCUGGUAGCACCGUAUAGAAAAGCGAGGUCUUCAGUGCAUUGUGACUUCAGAAAAAGAAACUCUCUUGCCCUCAUCUGCUGGCCAGUGAACUUCCUGAGUCUCAGGGAGUUUUUCCACGAGAAUGAUGGGAGGUCUGCACGGCAUGCAUGGGGCCAGCAGUGAACUUGGCGCUUAUAAUGAAAUAACUGAAACAUCAUUGUGACUGUAGAAUCAAGGGUCUUCCCUCCUUAUCUCCAAAGCGCCCAUGUUUUACAUGAAAAAGCGUUUCUAAUUAAUAGGCCAGCCCCUCUUGAGUUUGAUAAAAACAGAGGAGAAAAGGAUUUGAUUAACCCACAAUCUUUUCAAUUUGGCGUGUUCUGCAUGAGUGAAGUGUGUUUUCUGCAACAGAGCCAAGCCGGGCCCGUCCUGGUUUACCGUGAUAACAUUCUUCCCUUUGUGCAGCCCCAACUCACCCCCAGCCUGCGAGGAGAGGGUGGGGUGAAGAGAUUCUUGGAGGUAAUCGCCAGCACAGCCUGAGAGGGUAAUCUGGAUUCUCAUACAGACGCUGGGCCACCCGAAGAAGGAAAAGAUGACAAAGGCUUCCAUUGUCCCCAAGCGAGAGAGUUCAUUCUGUCUCGAGACCAAGGACGGGAGGUCUGGGCUGAGCGGUGAUGGGAAGGACCGCGUAGAAGGGUGGGUGGGACACCCAAAGUCAAAAGCUCAGGGACGGGGAUGGGGCAAGGAGGGGGAGAGUCCGCUGUAGAGGUGUCCAGCGCCAUGUGCCAUGUGACCCGGUAUCGGUUGGUUCUCCCAGCUCUGGCUUGUACCAGAGGACGCCCUUGAUGCCUUGGGGGGAAAGCAGGUCACAGAGCAGUGUGUGCUCUGAGUGAGGACCUGACUUCAUUUUUCCCUUGGUCAAUGUGGAGAUGAGAAACUUCUUUCUCCUUCUCCUUGCUGAGGACGAGACAACAGGCUAGGUGGCAGAUAACGUCCCUCUAGCUGGGUGUGUUGGCUUUAAAACAGGACUGCAAAUUCUCAGACGGCUCUCACAUUGAGGUGGGGGCUCUCUCUGUCCUAUUCCCUUAAAUCUGGAUGGGCUGGUGAUGACUUGGCCCCUGCAGCCUAGAGGAAGUAAUGCCCUGUGACUUCCAAGGCUGGACAUAAAAGGCCAUCACCUGAUUCACGGAGCCCUCAUGCUUGCAGGCUCAAGCUAGCAUGUGAAGAAGUUACCCUGUUUGUUAGAUAAUGGUGAAUAAAGCACAGUCCUGUCCUCAAGAAGUUCAUGGAAAGAAAGAAGAGUCAAAAUUAAGUAUAAUUUUGAGUAACAAAGAUAAGAGCAGAGGAAGGGAGCAAAGGAAAUAGAAGCUUCUCAAACUCAGUUCCAGCAGUAUUGUUGUUCACUUGAUAUUUUUCUUUAAACCUAUUCCUUCUAUUUCACUAAGGUAUUUCUGAAGUCACAGUGCCCCUACUAAUUUGGUCAGGCAUGCAAUGUAUCCAGCCAGAAAUGAGUUUUCAGACUCCCACAGAGCUAGGAGUGGUGGGGGAACUUAGUUCAGGCUAAUAAAAUAAAUGUAGGCAGAAGUCUAUUGGGUAGAGUUCCCAGAAAACUAUUUGCUUUCCUAAUUCAAAAAUUGAUUCUAAUAAUGAUGGCAGUGGUGGUGGUUAUGGUGAUGAUGGUAGAUAGACUCAGCUGGUACAGCCUUUUCCCUCCUGCCUUUCCCUUCUUCCUGUCUGGAAGGAGGAUGCAAUGCCUGGGGUAGAGCAAUCAUUUUGAGGCCAUGAGGAUAAAAGCCCCCAUGCCAAGGAAGAAAGCAGGAAGUUAGAAGGAGGCUGGAUCUUUCACAAUAUCCUUGGAUAGCUGCACCAGCAUUGGACUGCUGAUGUCCAAAAAUCUGGAUGAUUGAAAAAAUUUAACCCCUUAAUUAUUUAAACCACCGUUGGUUGAGUUUUCAGUUAUUUGAAUUCAAACACAUGCCCAAAGAAUACCUUUGAGUUUGAUGGACUCUUAUAUUUUCCCCCUAGUUCAAUUCAAGUAAAUAUGCAACUAUUCAAAUAAAACUGCUUUGGGGUACCAUCUGAAAUUGACUCGUAUAAACCAGAGGAAGGUGACAUUUUUAGAAAUUCUGAUUUAGUAGGGUCAUUAGUUUUAUUGAGCAUUUCAAAAUUUACUAGACUUUUUUCCCCAUGAUUCUUUUAUUUAAUCUGCACUUCAAUCCCAUGAGGUUGACGAGACAUAUUACUGUCCACUUGCUAUAAAUGAGGGGAUGCAUGGGGCCAAGAGGUGUUAGUGACUUGCCAAAGAUCUCAUAGCUGGUGAGUGGGGCAGCCAGAAGAAUCUCACAAUAUUAAUGUCACAAAUGUUGAUUAAGCAUGAGGUGCCAAGGACUGUGGAUACAAUGGAGAAUAAGAGGGAGAAACACAGUCUCUGCUCUCAUGGAAUAACAGGGAGGGCAAACCCUGAAACAAGGGAUGGCAACUGCAUAUGAAAAAAGGUAGAGAGGAAAUCUAGAGGUCUGAGAAAGCAUGAAAGAGCAUCUCUGUCUUAAUUUGGUUCCCCCAAAGCAGAUCACAUCUUAGAGUUGCCUCUCUUGGGUGAAAAGCUGGAGUAUUUAUUUACCUCCUCUCCCUUGUUGGCUGGGAAUAGCUCCUAGGUGCAUCAACUCCCCAGAUAUGGGACAAAGCCCCCAGGCAGGCAUUUGGAAGAAACUCAUCUUAGACCAAACUGUUUACAGAUGACCCCAGUGUGGACUGAGGAGAUCCUGUACAGGCAAUGACUGUCAGGUACCUGAUCUAGUGAAGGAAGCGAAGCAAAAUGGAACCUCUCUUUUGCUACAUAAUGCUGUAAUUGGAUAUGAGACAGUCUGUAAGACAGGAAAACGCCUAAAUAUCUUGACAUCUGACCUGCUGGCUCAUUCACAAGGCUGGCCCCAGGCUGACCCAAAAUCCCAUAGUGAGGCCUGGGGUUGAAGCAAGAUCAAAAAACACUCCCUUCCAGAAAUCUUCGCAGGAACCCAGCCUCCCAUGAAGGACCAGGGAACCAGCAGCCGGUUUCCAACUUCUCCUGGGCUUCCUGCGGUGUGUGCUUCUGUCCUCGCUGACACGCCGAAUGUUCUCCCCCAAAUUAUUUCUGAGUUCUCCUGGCAGCAGCUCUGCCUCCCCCGCCUCCCCUCCCCACUCCCUUUGGCAGAUCUGUGUUAUAAAAUAAGAGGCUCGGGAUUAUGUCUGUCUGACAACUGAAGAAUGAGCAACGGAGCAGAUGCAAAGUCUUACAAAUCCCGUGAAUUAUACAUGGCCAUCUGCAGCCUCGAGCCGUCCAGGAUUUCCACCCCACACCACGGCGUUCCAUAUGGAGUCAUAUGUUUUUAGUACCGGAGCCAUGCUGUCAACGUCCAGCAAUCCGUCAUGUGGCACAUGUGUGAUGCAAGCGCCCAAAUAAAUGCUAUCAGGCCCAGGAGUGCUGAGCAGAGGAGCGCAGUGGCCCCCACUGCCUUGUCUUCUCAGGAGGGCGGUUGCUUGUAUAGUUUUUCAAAAUUUUAACAAAGCACUAAACAAAUGCUAAAUCACUUUUCUAUCACCAGAAAAGCAAACCUCCUAUCUUCCACCUCCAAAAUGGAGGAAGAAAGCCCUGACUUUAAAAUAAAAUGUCAAAAGUCACUAGGUUUGAGUUUCACACUGGUAGAUUUCAACAGGUCUUUUGGGACGGGGUCCUGGCUCCCACCACCUUCUUUAGGAGACCUGAGCUCCUCCCCAGUAGCAGGUCUGGGGUCACGUGACUUCACCCCAGCCAGAGCUGAUUGGCCCAGGGUGGGGCUCCUUGGAGUGGCCAGGCCAAUCAUAUUCUCUCAUAUGAUGAUCUCUUUGCCAAUCCCCUGUUGUCAGUUUCUUUCCAUCCUGAGCUACACUUUUGUCCCCAGUCUAAACUCCCCUUUUUGCCCAAGGGCUAUUUUUUUGGCUGAAGGUUUGUGGUGAGAGAGAAGGAAGCUGUUCAAAAUCUCUGGGUCAGUUCUCAUCAUGGCUCAGUGGUUAAGGAACCGGACUAGCAACCAUGAGGAUGUGGGUUCAACCCCCCGCCUCGCUCAGUGGGUUAAGGAACCCCCAUUGCUAUGGCUGUGGUGUAGCAUGGUGGUUACAGCUCUGAUUCAACCUCUAGCCUGGGAACCUCCAUAUGCCAUGGGUGGAGCCCUAAAGAGACAAAAAAAAAAAAAAAAAAAAGUCUCUGGGUCAGUCAGCCAAGGAUUGUGUGUCUGGACAGAAUCUCCUUGCCUCCAGGUGGUAGAGGGAAGGGCCAGAGAAGAUAGUGGCUAAUGCUCUCAGGGCACCAGGAAGGGGACUGAAGGGAAGAUGCCUUUACUGGGCCUGGGUAACCUUGCCUUAGAAACAGCACAGGUGUCGAAGGAAUUGAGAAGGCAAGCCAGCUCUUUGUUGUUAACAGUUACAGGAACAUCCGGGCCUUGUGCUGUUUUGCAAAUACUAACUUUACGUCCACAGGGGAUGCCUCCCUGACAUCUUUUUGCCCUCCUCUGGUAACAGCACCCUGAUUUUCCUUUGGGAGGACAUCCCUCUCCCACUUGGUGCAUGUGGUUUUGUUGGACAGAUGAUCUCCUCAUCUUGACCCAGGCCCAGCCCAUGAGAGUUACAGUAAUGGUUUCAGAAAGGAGAUUGUGGUCUAGUCUGGGCCAAUGAGACUUGGCUGGGACUUGGCUUGAGACUUCUGCUGGAAUUAAUAGGAGAGAAGUGCUCUCUUUCUGCAGGAAUCACUGAGCUGGUAAACUGUAAGCCUAGAACUGCUAGUGGCCACUUUUGCCACUGCCAGAGGAGAGGAAAGUUAAUACAGAGGAAAGGAGGGAGAAGAGAUAGGAAGCAGGUGGAAAGAAGAAUGAAUGGUAGCAGAGAAAGAGAGACAAAGUUCAAAUGACAUAGUGUAAAGCCUGGAUCCACCUAUGCCUGAAAUCAUUCACACUAGGAUUUCUCACUUAUACAAGUCAAUAGCCUGGGAACCUCCAUAUGCCAUGGGUAUGGCCCUAAAAACCAAAAAAAAAAAAAAAAAA
rnacentral:lncRNA from 1 species